rnacentral:rRNA from 1 species
GAUGAACGCUGGCGGCGUGCCUAAUACAUGCAAGUCGAGCGAACGGACGAGAAGCUUGCUUCUCUGAUGUUAGCGGCGGACGGGUGAGUAACACGUGGAUACCUACCUAUAAGACUGGGAUAACUUCGGGAAACCGGAGCUAAUACCGGAUAAUAUUUUGAACCGCAUGGUUCAAAAGUGAAAGACGGUCUUGCUAUCACUUAUAGAUGGAUACGCGCUGCAUUAGCUAGUUGGUAAGGUAACGGCUUACCAAGGCAACGAUGCAUAGACGACCUGAGAGGGUGAUCGACCACGCUGGAACUGAGACACGGUCCAGACUCCUACGGGAGGCAGCAGUAGGGAAUCUUCCGCGAUGGGCGAAAGCCUGACGGAGCAACGCCGCGUGAGUGAUGAAGGUCUUCGGAUCGUAAAACUCUGUUAUUAGGGAAGAACAUAUGUGUAAGUAACUGUGCACAUCUUGACGGUACCUAAUCAGAAAGCCACGGCUAACUACGUG